rnacentral:piRNA from 1 species
UCCAAUGUUAGUACUACGGAUGGGGA